rnacentral:rRNA from 1 species
UACAGAGGGGGCAAGCGUUGUUCGGAAUUACUGGGCGUAAAGGGCGCGUAGGCGGCCUGUUAAGUCGAACGUGAAAUCCCUGGGCUCAACCCCGGAACUGCCCUUGAAACUGGAGAGCUAGAAUCUUGGAGAGGCGAGUGGAAUUCCGAGUGUAGAGGUGAAAUUCGUAGAUAUUCGGAAGAACACCAGUGGCGAAGGCGACUCGCUGGACAAGUAUUGACGCUGAGGUGCGAAAGCGUGGGGAGCAAACAGG